AAAUUUAUAAGAUCUCUGAAAGCUGAAUCUACUCACCAAGCAGCUGCUGAGCUCCCCCUUACCCACUACUGGGUGUAGGAGACCUAAUGCCAAUGGUAAUAGGAGAACCUCUCCCGUUUGGCUUGAUUUUAAUCCAUUACCCAAUGAACCAGAACCUACAGCCGCGUGUAAACACUGCCAUAAAAGAUACCAUUGUGAUUCUAAAUUAAAUGGAACGUCCAACAUGUUAGCACACUCUAGAGUCUGCCUUAAGAAACCAGAGAACAUGCUAAAUGACCCUAGGCAAACAAAUCUUAUAAAUGGGAAGGGUGGUUUUCUAGUUUCAGCUAGCCAAAGGUACAAUGCAAAAGAUUAUAGUGAUGUCGUAACCAACUUUGUUAUCCUUGACGAACAUGCCCAUGCCAUUAGAGAAGUAGAGAAUGCAGAGUUAUGAAGUAUUAUCUAUGGCAUGUCCCUUUGCAGUUUAUCAUAAAUGGUUGCUGCAAUUUAAGUGGGAUACUAGAUGUUAUAGACUUCUAGGGCUCCAGUUCAGCAUCAACUACAACAUCAUUCUCCAUGAUUCGCCAUGUUGUAGCAUCGGCAAUUGCAAGCAGCCUGUGCUUUUAAAGCUAGUGGAAUUUAUUUCAUCUUUUACUCAAAUAUUGGAUGACUGUAAUAUAUUAUAAUACUUAUGCUGUUGAUACUGUUGGACAACUGUAAUAUUUACUAAUAUUUGCUGUGUUGUGCAUGUUUGUUGUUAGUCAAUGCAAACAAGUUAUAUAAUUUAUAUUUGGAACAAGUUUACAAAUG